rnacentral:lncRNA from 1 species
CUGCAGCUUGCCAAGAUGGUAUAGGGUGUUCAAAAGCUAUUUCUAUGUUUUACAAAGAAACAGAGUGAAAAGAAAACACACUAUCUCUUUCUGCUGGUUUCUGCAGAUUACCCCUACUUAUUUGCACCCACGCCCUCAGAAGAGUCUAGUAUACCUAUAGUAUGUUGAGCAUUAUAAAAGUCAGAUGAAAUGAACUUUGAAUCGUUCCUACAGCAGAAUUCUGUGUUUUGAAAACGAUUAGUAAGUUAGCCACUAGUUACUUAGUAGUUAAUAUUCAGAAAUGCAGACAUUUGUACUGGAAACAAAGGAGAGGUAUAGAAGAGCAGUUAAAAAAGAAAAAAAUCUGGAGCUGAGUUUGUGGAAACUAGACAGGGCGAUUUUGGCAUUUGUUUCAGAAAUGGGAACACAGCUGGUGAAGAUUUCUGUGGUCCUUGGGGCUGGUGGUGACAUCAAAGCUUUCCCAUUUCCAGGUAAACUCCAGUUGCAUGUGGGAACCUCCAAGUGUGACAUGUUGGGUUUUGGAGAGAUCAGAUGUAGGUCCAGUGGAUCAGAAUACAGGGAAAAAACUAAUGAGAAUCCCUCAAUGGAUCCUUCACCCACCAAACAAGAUUUCUUCAGAAACCGACUUGCUCUUGCAAAUGACCUUGACCAAGGAACAGCUGUGUAAACACAUUUACAGUUGUAUUGUCAAGUGGUAAGAGGAGGGUAAAAGCUUGUAUAUAUCUCUGCAGGAAUAUAUAUAUAUACAUAUAUAUAUAUCAAUGCAUAAAUCCCUGAGGAAAACUAAUAUAAAUAUUUACAUAUGAAACUAAAUCAACAUACAAGAUAUUGAAGAGAUGAAGAUUAGUCUAUGGUUAAGACUUGGCUUAAUGAACCUCAACACUUGGGAAAAGGGAAAUGAAGACUUUUCACAUCAUUACAGAAAAACAUAAUAAAUUUGGAG